GCAUAUCAAUAAGCGGAGGAAAAGAAACCAACAGGGAUUGCCCCAGUAACGGCGAGUGAAGCGGCAACAGCUCAAAUUUGAAAUCUGGCCCCAGGCCCGAGUUGUAAUUUGCAGAGGAUGCUUUUGGCGCGGUGCCUUCCGAGUUCCCUGGAACGGGACGCCAUAGAGGGUGAGAGCCCCGUACGGUUGGACACCAAGCCUUUGUAAAGCUCCUUCGACGAGUCGAGUAGUUUGGGAAUGCUGCUCUAAAUGGGAGGUACAUUUCUUCUAAAGCUAAAUAUUGGCCAGAGACCGAUAGCGCACAAGUAGAGUGAUCGAAAGAUGAAAAGCACUUUGAAAAGAGGGUUAAACAGCACGUGAAAUUGUUAAAAGGGAAGCGCUUGUGACCAGACUUGCGUCCGGUGAAUCACCCAGCUCUCGCGGCUGGGGCACUUCGCCGGCACAGGCCAGCAUCAGCUUGCCGUCGGGGACAAAAGCUUCAGGAACGUGGCUCCUCUCGGGGAGUGUUAUAGCCUGUUGCAUAAUACCCUUCGGCGGGCUGAGGUACGCGCUCCGCAAGGAUGCUGGCGUAAUGGUCAUCAGCGACCCGUCUUGAAACACGGACCAAGGAGUCAACCUUAUGUGCGAGUGUUUGGGUGUCAAACCCCUACGCGUAAUGAAAGUGAACGCAGGUGAGAGCUUCGGCGCAUCAUCGACCGAUCCUGAUGUUCUCGGAUGGAUUUGAGUAAGAGCAUAUAGGGUUGGACCCGAAAGAAGGUGAACUAUGCGUGUGUAGGGUGAAGCCAGAGGAAACUCUGGUGGAGGCUCGCAGCGGUUCUGACGUGCAAAUCGAUCGUCAAACAUGCGCAUGGGGGCGAAAGACUAAUCGAACCUUCUAGUAGCUGGUUUCCGCGA
rnacentral:rRNA from 2 species